rnacentral:rRNA from 1 species
CAACUAUACGGCGAAACUGCGAACGGCUCAUUAUAUAAGUUAUCGUUUAUUUGAUAGCACCUUACUACUUGGGUAACCGUGGUAAUUCUAGAGCUAAUACAUGCUGAAAAUCCCGACUCCGGAAGGGAUGUGUUUAUUAGAUUCAAAGCCAACGCCCUCCGGGCUCACUGGUGAUUCAUGAUAACCGCUCGAAUCGCACGGCCUUGCGCCGGCGAUGGUUCAUUCAAAUUUCUUCCCUAUCAACUUUCGAUGUUUGGGUAGUGGCCAAACAUGGUUGCAACGGGUAACGGAGGGUUAGGGCUCGACCCCGGAGAAGGAGCCUGAGAAACGGCUACUACAUCCAAGGAAGGCAGCAGGCGCGCAAAUUACCCAAUCCCGACACGGGGAGGUAGUGACAAUAAAUACCGAUAUAGGGCUCUUUUGGGUCUUAUAAUUGGAAUGAGUACAAUUUAAAUCCCUUAACGAGGAACAAUUGGAGGGCAAGUCUGGUGCCAGCAGCCGCGGUAAUUCCAGCUCCAAUAGCGUAUAUUAAAGUUGUUGUGGUUAAAAAGCCCGUAGUUGAACCUUGGGCCUGGCUGGCCGGUCCGCCUCACCGCGUGCACUGGUCCGGCCGGGCCUUUCCCCCCGCGGAACCCCAUGCCCUUCGCUGGGCGUGGCGGGGAAACGGGACGUUUACUUUGAAAAAAUUAGAGUGCUCCAGGCAGGCCUAUGCUCGAAUACAUUAGCAUGGAAUAAUGAAAUAGGACGCGCGGUUCUAUUUUGUUGGUUUCUAGGACCGCCGUAAUGAUUGAUAGGGACAGUCGGGGGCGUCAGUAUUCAACCGUCAGAGGUGAAAUUCUUGGACCGGUUGAAGACUAACUACUGCGAAAGCAUUCGCCAAGGAUGUUUUCAUUAAUCAGGGACGAAAGCUAGGGGAUCGAAGACGAUCAGAUACCGUCGUAGUCUUAGCCAUAAACUAUGCCGACUAGGGAUCGGGCGAUGUUAUUCUUUGACUCGCUCGGCACCUUACGAGAAAUCAAA